GCCGGGUGUGGUGGCGUGCACCUGUAAUCCCAGCUACUUGGGAGGCUGAGGAAAGAGGAUCGCUUGAACCCGGGAGACGGAGGUUGCAGUGAGCCAAGAUUGUGCCACUACACUCCAGCCUGGGUGACAGAGCGAGACUUCGUCUCAA
rfam:Gorilla gorilla gorilla genomic chromosome, chr15, whole genome shotgun sequence